GUGUGCCUACGGGAGGCAGCAGUAGGGAAUUUUCGUCAAUGGGCGCAAGCCUGAACGAGCAAUGCCGCGUGAACGAGGAAGGUCUUCGGAUCGUAAAGUUCUGUUGAAGGGGAAAAAGAGCGGAGAGAGGAAAUGGUCUCCGAUUGAUAUUACCCUUCGAGGAAGUCACGGCUAACUACGUGCCAGCAGCCGCGGUAAUACGUAGGUGGCGAGCGUUCUCCGGAAUGAUUGGGCGUAAAGGGUGCGUAGGCGGCCUGCUAAGUCUGGAGUGAAGGGGACCGGCUCAACCGGUACA
rnacentral:rRNA from 1 species